rnacentral:lncRNA from 1 species
GGGAAACCUAUCCAUACUUCAAAGUACCAUGGAUGAACUCAUGGUCAUCUAAUGGUAGGUAUGAAGUGUGGAAGGUUUUUAUCAACCUUAAAACAAGCAUAUCAUGACUUAAGUGAUUUUCAUUAGUCAUUCAUUUCAAGGCUCCAAAAGUCUAUAAAAAAUGAUCCAAAUAAAAUAAAUCAAAUCACCAUUAAAUUCCAGGGAUAAAAAUAAUGGGGGUUGGUGUUCAACAUUUUUCCAAAAUAAUAAAAAUAAGAGGAUAAAAAAAUAAAUCAAAAGAGAAAAUAAAAUUAAUAAAAUAAAUAAAAGUGACAAAGUGAAAAAAGGAAAAUGGUCAGCGUGCAAAAGCAUGGCUCGAACCCAUGACCUUGGGGUCAUGGGGGAGUCCAUA